UACGUAGGGUGCGAGCGUUGUCCGGAAUUAUUGGGCGUAAAGAGCUCGUAGGCGGUGUGUCGCGUCGGCCGUGAAAACCUGGGGCUCAACUCUGGGCGUGCGGUCGAUACGGGCAUCACUUGAGUUCGGCAGGGGAGACUGGAAUUCCUGGUGUAGCGGAGAAAUGCGCAGAUAUCAGGAAGAACACCGGUGGCGAAGGCGGCCAACUGGACCACAACUGACGCUGAGGCGCGAAAGCGUGGGGAGCAAACAGG
rnacentral:rRNA from 1 species